AGUGAACGCUGGCGGUAGGCCUAACACAUGCAAGUCGAACGGCAGCACAGUAAGAGCUUGCUCUUACGGGUGGCGAGUGGCGGACGGGUGAGGAAUACAUCGGAAUCUACUUUUUCGUGGGGGAUGACGUAGGGAAACUUACGCUAAUACCGCAUACGACCUACGGGUGAAAGCAGGGGAUCUUCGGACCUUGCGCGAUUGAAUGAGCCGAUGUCGGAUUAGCUAGUUGGCGGGGUAAAGGCCCACCAAGGCGACGAUCCGUAGCUGGUCUGAGAGGAUGAUCAGCCACACUGGAACUGAGACACGGUCCAGACUCCUACGGGAGGCAGCAGUGGGGAAUAUUGGACAAUGGCGCAAGCCUGAUCCAGCCAUACCGCGUGGGUGAAGAAGGCCUUCGGGUUGUAAAGCCCUUUUGUUGGGAAAGAAAAGCAGCAGGUUAAUACCCCGCUGUUCUGACGGUACCCAAAGAAUAAGCACCGGCUAACUUCGUG
rnacentral:rRNA from 1 species